GUCUGUAUGCAAGGAGAUAUAAAGUCUAGCCUGCCCACUGAUUGAAUUUAAAGGGCUGCGGUAUAUCUGACCGUGCGAAGGUAGCAUAGUCAUUAGUCUUUUAAUUGGAGGCUUGGAUGAACGGUUGGACGGAAGAAAUCUUGUCUCGUGUAUAGUAGUUUAAUUUAACUUUUAUGUGAGAAGGCAUGAAUGAGUCGGGGGGACGAUAAGACCCUAUAAAACUUAAUAGUUAAGUUUUAAUUUUUGAAUUAAUAGUAAAUUGAGUUGAGAGGUAGUUAUUUUGCUGGGGCGGCAGGGAUAUAAGAUUGAUUAACUGUUUUGUGUUUUUAAAUAGAUAUGUUUAGAUAUAGAUCCUCUGUUGGAGAUUUUUAGAAUAAGUUACUUUAGGGAUAACAGCGUGAUUUCUUUUGAGAGUUCUUAUCGACAAAGUUAGUUGCGACCUCGAUGUUGAAUUAAAGUUUCCUUUAGGUGUAGCAGCUUAGAGGGUAGGUCUGUUCGACCUUUAAAAUUUUACAUGAUUUGAGUUCAAACCGGUGUGAG
rnacentral:rRNA from 1 species